GACGAACGCUGGCGGCGUGCUUAACACAUGCAAGUCGAACGGAAAGGCCCUGCUUUUGUGGGGUGCUCGAGUGGCGAACGGGUGAGUAACACGUGAGUAACCUGCCCUUGACUUUGGGAUAACUUCAGGAAACUGGGGCUAAUACCGGAUAGGAGCUCCUGCUGCAUGGUGGGGGUUGGAAAGUUUCGGCGGUUGGGGAUGGACUCGCGGCUUAUCAGCUUGUUGGUGGGGUAGUGGCUUACCAAGGCUUUGACGGGUAGCCGGCCUGAGAGGGUGACCGGCCACAUUGGGACUGAGAUACGGCCCAGACUCCUACGGGAGGCAGCAGUGGGGAAUAUUGCACAAUGGGCGGAAGCCUGAUGCAGCAACGCCGCGUGCGGGAUGACGGCCUUCGGGUGGUAAACCGCCUUCGCCUGUGACGAAGCGUGAGUGACGGUAAUGGGUAAAGAAGCACCGGCUAACUACGUG
rnacentral:rRNA from 1 species